GUGCUGAAUUGUUGGUUCUCCUGGGGAAAGCUCUAGGGUGGAGCUAGCAAAAUAUCAAGAUAGCAGGUGUCACAACUGCCUCUCAGUCUGAGGAUCGUCCUCUACAUAUUCCUGCUCCCUCUCCCCUCCUCUCCCUUAUUCCUUCCCAUGUCCCCCACCCCAGUCUCUCAAAUAUCUACUUUCAUCUUCAAAUCUGCUUCUUGGAAAUCAUGAACAAAAGAGGAUUUGCAUUUGAUAAGAUCCAAAGAGAGAAGAAGGGGAUAAUCCAUAUAUUUCUGAAACUGGUUACCAGGUGCUUUUUUUUUUUUUUUGACUGAACACCUGAUGGAGCUGUUGGAAUGAAGUCACAUAUGAGGUGAUACAGACUGGCUUCCCCUUUUGGGGCAGUGCCCAGGAGGGACAGAUGACUCAUCAUAGUGUGGAUGGAUGGGGGUGGAGGAUCCUGGCUCCAUCUUGGAACACAGGAUAAUUAGGGGUGAGAAGGAAUAGACAGAUCCACACAAACAACCUGCUCCACCUCCAAGUUUCUCAGCUGAGCUUGAGGUGAGACAUCAGCUCAGCAGAGAAAGACUGAGGUUGUGCGCUCAAUUCCCUUUGCACUUUCCAUUCGGGUUUUGGGGUAUAUUUCUGGGACCCCUCAUGUCUUUCAGGGUUUCCCUGAAUAUUCAUUAGUCCAGCAUCCCUGGAGGGAAAAGAUGAGGGACUUUGCUUGGUUUCGUACCAGGCAAAGCUGUAGACCAUCAGAGCUUCAGACCAUUCCCUUGUUUGUAGCUGGGCCAGUGUGAGUGUGAAAAGCAAGGGAGGUGGGGCAGAGGGACCGUGGACAGCACCCAAGUGUGAGUCACAUCUCCACCAUCAGGUUUAGAACCUAUGAACUGGAAAUCUUAGAAAAUCAUCAUAAAAUUAUACUGGCUUUUUUGCCCUAAGCACUGUGGAGACAGAUUCUUGCAGAAAUCUUGCCUUGCCCAACCCAGCCCAUGACCUUCCCCACCACAGGGAAAGCACUGGUUAAGGAGGUGAUUCAGAGUUAAGAGGUGAUUCAGAGUUAGGUUCCCCAGGUGCGUCCAUUGAUGAGUGACCUCUCCUUGGCAACAGGGACAUACUUUUGUCGUUCAGGGAGAAACACUGAGCUAGGAGGUAGAAGCUCUGGGCCCUGCUUUUGAUGCUUACACAAACUUACUUUGUAGCUUUGAGCAAGGCAGCCAGCCUCUCCCCCUCAGUGUCCUGUGCAGCCAAACGGAUUGACCUGUGAGGCAAUGCGUGUCCCAGCUCUGCCGUUCCUCAUAUCACCAGUCAUUGUCCUAAUAAAAAACUGGCACUGGAACAUAGCAAUGCAAUUGCAUGUUUGAAAUCGAGGUUGUCCUUGUAAGUCUGGGUAGCCAUCUUUGCAGCAUCGGCUCUUUCAAAAGAAAACUAUUUUCAGAAAUAUUUCAUUUGAAAAAUCCCCAUUUAUCAGGAAGACUUAAUAAAGCAACUUCUGUAGACACAGAAGCACAUUAUCGCCUACUUACUUCAGAGUUAGGUUACCAGGCAUAUUC